CAAGUCGAACGAGAAAGUGGAGCAAUCCAUGAGUACAGUGGCGACCGGGUGAGUAACACGUGACCAACCUACCUUCGAGUGGGGGAUAACUCCGGGANNNNNGGGCUAAUACCGCAUAAAAUCUUUGAAACGCGAGUUUCGUUGAUCAAAGGAGUAAUUCGCUUGAAGAGGGGGUCGCGGCUGAUUAGCUAGUUGGCGGGGUAAUGGCCCACCAAGGCGAAGAUCGGUAUCCGGCCUGAGAGGGCGCACGGACACACUGGAACUGAAACACGGUCCAGACUCCUACGGGAGGCAGCAGUGGGGAAUUUUGCGCAAUGGGGGAAACCCUGACGCAGCAACGCCGCGUGGAGGAUGAAGUCCCUUGGGACGUAAACUCCUUUCGACCAAGACGAUAAUGACGGUACUGGUGGAAGAAGCACCGGCUAACUCUGUGCCAGCAGCCGCGGUAAUACAGAGGGUGCGAGCGUUGUUCGGAAUUAUUGGGCGUAAAGGGCGCGUAGGCGGCGCCACAAGUCACUUGUGAAAACUCUGGGCUCAACCCAGAGCCUGCAGGCGAAACUGUGGUGCUGGAGUAUGGGAGAGGUGCGUGGAAUUCCCGGUGUACGGUGAAAUGCGUA
rnacentral:rRNA from 1 species